rnacentral:rRNA from 1 species
GACGAACGCUGGCGGCGUGCUUAACACAUGCAAGUCGAACGGAAAGGCCUUUUCGGAGGUACUCGAGUGGCGAACGGGUGAGUAACACGUGGGUGAUCUGCCCUGCACUCUGGGAUAAGCCUGGGAAACUGGGUCUAAUACCGGAUAGGACCGCACUUUAGUGUGUGUGGUGGAAAGUUUUUUCGGUGUAGGAUGAGCCCGCGGCCUAUCAGCUUGUUGGUGGGGUAAUGGCCUACCAAGGCGGCGACGGGUAGCCGGACUGCGAGGGUGGUCGGCCACAUUGGGACUGGGAGACGGCCCAGACUCCGACGGGAGGCAGAAGUGGGGAAUAUUGCACAAUGGGCGCAAGCCUGAUGCAGAGACGCCGCGGGGGGGAUGACGGCCUUCGGGUUGUAAACGCCUUUCGCCAGGGACGAAGCGUUUUGUGACGGUACCUGGAGAAGAAGCACCGGCUAACUACGUG